GGGAAGGUAGCUCAGUGGUAGAGCGCUUGCUUUGCAUGCAUGAGGCCCUGGUUCGAUUCCUCAGCACCA
rnacentral:tRNA from 1 species